UACGAAGGGGGCUAGCGUUGCUCGGAAUCACUGGGCGUAAAGGGUGCGUAGGCGGGCCUUUAAGUCAGGGGUGAAAUCCUGGAGCUCAACUCCAGAACUGCCUUUGAUACUGAAGAUCUUGAGUUCGGGAGAGGCGAGUGGAACUGCGAGUGUAGAGGUGAAAUUCGUAGAUAUUCGCAAGAACACCAGUGGCGAAGGCGGCUCACUGGCCCGAUACUGACGCUGAGGCACGAAAGCGUGGGGAGCAAACAGG
rnacentral:rRNA from 1 species